UUCUUCUUUCUUAAAUUCUCUUUCCUCUAUCUCUCCUCCUCUCUCAUCUGCCUCUCUCUCCUCAAACAAACCCUAAUCAAUAAGAAUCGGGAAGUAGACAAAGAUGAAGACCUAGAUUGAACGUCAUUCUUGGCCUAAAUUCGGUGAUGCUGUUCAUGAAGAAAUCGGCGCUCGUCAAACUAUGGUUUCUACUGAAGAAAUUGGCCUUCAACGACCUGCUGCUCCUGGGUUUUCGAAUCUGGCCGUGUUAUUCAUGUGUUAUUGGAUAGAUUUUUAAUGGAUUUACUCGUGAAUUUGUUCUAUGUUUGAGUGAUUUUUGCCAAUUGAGGUUAAUUGGAAGAAAUUAAGGGUUUCCUGAUCUCUCGAGGCUGUUUGUGGAAUUUUGGGGGAAUUGGAGAUGGAUAGGGGUUGGAGUGGUGGUUUCGUGGGUGCGGUGGUGGGUGUGGUGCGGAGGAAUUACAGUCUAUCAAACAGAUUGGGGCCUCUCUGCCUUGCAGAUUCUCAAGGAUGAUGAAGGACCUUUUAAUUUGGCUAUGGCUCCUUUGAAGUUGAAUGGUGACAAAAGUCUUUUUGGAAGUUUUUUGCCUAUUGGGAAUGAUGACUCUCAGAAUGUCAAGGGAAUACAGACCCUGGAGUGCCUGUUGUAUAUGCUGGAUUUGGUGCUCUGAUGCUCACAUGUAUCAGUUAUUUAUUUCAUGCACAGGUGAUUUUCUAAGCUCUUGAUUAUCACUCUUCAAGGAUUUGUUACGCAAUUGCUACUUGGAUAUACUAGUUCAUAUAUUGAUAAAUGCCCUUUUCACAUAUGUGGCUAGCUAUCAGAUUCAAUUAGAGAAGUUUCUACUACUUGUAAAAGCAUUGUUUCUUAUCAGAAAAAAAGGAUGUAGUUGCACAUGUCUUGAUGUUCCUAUUGCUUUCACCCGCUCUCUCAUUUUGAGUUGAUAUACUCAACAAAACUACUUCAUACUUGGUAAUCUCUUCAGCACUUUAAUUUCAUGAGCAGGAUUACCUACCUCUAUAUUGUAUGUUCUGCAAAUUGUAUGAAAUAAUGAAUUAUGAUACAAAAUUAAUAAUCGAGGUCCUUGCAUUUUAAGUAAGCAGAUAAUAGGAGAUUCCUUCAAGAGAUGACCUGAUAUGUAGUGAGUGUGAUUGGUUCCUUAGGCUGUGAGAUUGGCUGAAUGCCUAUUAUGUCUCAUGUAUUAUUAGUUCCAUAACAAAGAAAUAGUCAUCAGAAAUCUGGAAAGUUUCACUGCCUCUUGGUUUUUAAUUAAUGGUUUUUAUGAUUUCAUGUAUGUUGUUUUCAUUUUCAAAUAUAUCUUUGUUUGCAACUUACAAGAUUUAGCUUUACUUGUCGUACCAUCUCUAACUUCUAUAGUAGAGCUUAUAUAAAAUUAUUAUUUUUCUAUGAUUUUGUUACUGACAAAUAUUCCAAUUGUACGAAUGUUGUCAAGGGCUUGCCUAAUUAUAGGCGUUACAGAGAUCCGGAGGCCAAUCUGGUGAGGCCAGAGGAACCAGAAGAUGUUCCCAUGGAGGACAGGAACCUUGCUGGGGAUGGCAAUUCUAAUUCAGAUGAUUUUUCUAAUGAUAGUGCAGGGAGUGACUACUCUGAAAAUUAUUAUACAGGGUCUGAGCACUGAACAAGGCACUCUAAUCAAUCUGUUUCUCAGGUCUAUAGCCCACCAGGAACAAGGCUAGGCUUGAACAACGAUCCUUAUGCGGUCUUCUAUCCUUCUGUUCAGGCUCGCAGAAAUGGGCAGGCUAGGGCUCUCUCCUUCUCUAAAUGCUUGGUUCCCUUACACCCUUCUAUUCAACGAAAAGGGAAGGAAAUAGUAGCAGUGCCUUCAACCUUCGAAAUUGGGGAGUCUCCUCUGAGUCCUUAUAUUUCUUAUUUUAUAUACAUUUGUCAUUAUCGUUUAAUGUUUUGGGUGAUUCUCUUGCAUAGCUAAUAAUUUGUUAUUCUUUUUAGAUUUGCAUUGGUAGUUUUGUUGUAUAUCCAUAUCAUUUAUUGGCGGCAAGUCUUCUAUGUUUUUUCAAGAUGGCAGGGAUUAUGUUAUGUCUGUUUUUGAAGUUGUUUCAAUUACAUUUUUUUUAUUAUCUGAGAUUCUGAAAUACGAGAAAACAAUGAUGAUAUGAUCCAUUUGUUAAUUGUCUAAUUAGCUUAAACGAAGUAUAACAGAAUGUCAGAAUUUCUCACUCUAAUGAGCUUGUACAAUUUUAUGCGUGCAUCUGCUUAUCAUCAAAUAUAGGAGGUUUUCAACAUGUUCUGGAAAAUGGUUUAAUGAAAUUCAGUUCGGUAUUUAUACACCAAGAUUAAAAGUCUCAUGAUUCCAUCAAUUUCUGCUGUUCUGUGAGAAAAUAUUAGGUGAUAUAUUCUUAUCUUUAUCCUUCUUGACUAAUAUAGUGAUUACUAGCUCUCAUAUUGGGGUACAAAUUGCCUUGAAGUUCUAAUGAAAAUAUACAAUGGCUUUUCUUUUAUUGGGUUUUCCAUGUUCUGUUCCUGAUAAUUAUGAAGUCUGUAAACUUUCAGCUUUGAAUCUGAAAGUAAUAGCUCUGUCACAGUCACUAAAAUUGGUUUUUGGAUUUUUUUUGUAGUGUCAGAAUUAGAGCUGGAGAAAUUAAAGCAUGCAUUGAAACUUCUUUCUGAAUCUGAAAAACAGCUUAGAGUUUCCAGCGAACGCUCCAUGUGGUUUACUGCCACUUUAUUACAACUUGGCUCUAUUAAUAAAAAAAAUAAAUGCGUUUUUUGCCAAAACAGUGGAUACUUAUAUGUAGCAAUUGUAUACCUUAUACUUGCAUCUCUUCUAUAAAAAAGUUAUUCUGGAUGGGGUUUCAUUUCUGUGACUUUUGUGAUGUACUAAAUAUUGUUUAAGAAUUACUUUACAACCCUUCCCUCUUCCUUCUUCCAGAAACCAAAAAGCAUGCAUGCAUCUUGUAUGGAAGAGUGUGUGUGACAGAGAGAGAGUGUGUGUAUGUGUGUGUGUGUGUGUUUAGCAGCUAUAUAUAUGUUACAAUUUCGUUUCUAUAACUUGCUUUGACAGGUAAAACAGCAGCAACAGCACCACCAGACAACAGCUAACAGCCAGCAGAUAGCCAACAAGCUUUUGCAAAACCAGGCCAACAACCAAACAGCAGCAUCACAGCAGC